rnacentral:rRNA from 1 species
AGAGUUUGAUCCUGGCUCAGGAUGAACGCUAGCGGCAGGCUUAAUACAUGCAAGUCGUGGGGCAGCAGGGGUAGCAAUACUCGCUGGCGACCGGCAAACGGGUGCGCAAUACGUACGCAACCUUCCUUUAAGCGGGGAAUAGCCCAGGGAAACUUGGAUUAAUACCCCAUAAUAUGAUGAAAGGGCAUCCUUUUAUUAUUAAAGCUCCGGCACUUAAAGAUGGGCGUACGGCUGAUUAGGUAGUUGGCGGGGUAACGGCCCACCAAGCCUACGAUCAGUAGCUGAUGUGAGAGCAUGAUCAGCCACACGGGCACUGAGACACGGGCCCGACUCCUACGGGAGGCAGCAGUGAGGAAUAUUGGUCAAUGGGCGCAAGCCUGAACCAGCCAUGCCGCGUGGAGGAUGAAGGCCCUCUGGGUUGUAAACUUCUUUUAUCUGGGAAGAAAAGUACGGUUUCUACUGUAUCCGACGGUACCAGAUGAAUAAGCACCGGCUAACUCCGUGCCAGCAGCCGCGGUAAUACGGAGGGUGCAAGCGUUAUCCGGAUUUACUGGGUUUAAAGGGUGUGUAGGCGGAUAUUUAAGUCAGAGGUGAAAUCUCCGGGCUCAACCCGGAAACUGCCUUUGAUACUAUUUAUCUUGAAUUUCGUUGAGGUUGGCGGAAUAUAUCAUGUAGCGGUGAAAUGCAUAGAUAUGAUAUAGAACACCGAUUGCGUAGGCAGCUGGCUGAACGACGAUUGACGCUGAGGCACGAAAGCGUGGGUAGCGAACAGGAUUAGAUACCCUGGUAGUCCACGCCCUAAACGAUGAUUACUCGACAUAUGCGAUACACAGUAUGUGUCUGAGCGAAAGCAUUAAGUAAUCCACCUGGGAAGUACGUCCGCAAGGAUGAAACUCAAAGGAAUUGACGG